rnacentral:rRNA from 1 species
GAUGAACGCUGGCGGCGUGCCCAACACAUGCAAGUCGAGCGAACAGAUGAGGAGCUUGCUCCUCUGACGUUAGCGGCGGACGGGUGAGUAACACGUGGAUAACCUACCUAUAAGACUGGGAUAACUUCGGGAAACCGGAGCUAAUACCGGAUAAUAUAUUGAACCGCAUGGUUCAAUAGUGAAAGACGGUUUUGCUGUCACUUAUAGAUGGAUCCGCGCCGCAUUAGCUAGUUGGUAAGGUAACGGCUUACCAAGGCAACGAUGCGUAGCCGACCUGAGAGGGUGAUCGGCCACACUGGAACUGAGACACGGUCCAGACUCCUACGGGAGGCAGCAGUAGGGAAUCUUCCGCAAUGGGCGAAAGCCUGACGGAGCAACGCCGCGUGAGUGAUGAAGGUCUUCGGAUCGUAAAACUCUGUUAUUAGGGAAGAACAAAUGUGUAAGUAACUAUGCACGUCUUGACGGUACCUAAUCAGAAAGCCACGGCUAACUACGUG